AUGAGGAGCGGGGCGGCUGGGACAGGCCCAGGCCCUGCGGCGCUCCCCACUGCGCCUCCCGCCGCUGCCCCGCACGCUCCGCGGGGAGUGGCCCCGCUGCACGCGCGCUGCCUCCGCCUCCCGGCCCGGGGUGGGGUGGGGGGGUUCGCCCCGGAGCCACCGCUCCCGCCUCGGUUCCGUCCGCUUGACGUCGGCCCUGAAUCUGCGCGCUGGGCGGGCCUGGGAAGGGGCGCUCUGCAGCCUCCAGCCGAGCCCACGCCUGCCUCCCGAGUCUCGGGUGAAACAGCCCUCGGAGGGGCAGCCACACGCUAUUUUGUCAGAAAAAGAAUCCCCGCUUCCUGGACGGCCAGAUUUAUUACAGCAGUGGGCCUGACCCUGCUGGACCUCGGGGCCGGGGAGGGGCCGGGGGGGCCGGGGCGCUGGGGGAGCUGGGUGGGGGCUGACCCUGCUGGACCUCGGGAGCUGGGGGGGCGGGGCGCUGGGGAGCGGGCAGGGGCGCUGGGGGAGCCCGCGGGGCCUGGCCCUACUGGACCUCGGGAGCUCGGGGGGCCGGGGCGCUGGGGGAGCUCGGGGUGGGGGGCCGGGGCGCUGGAGGAGCCUGCAGGGCCUCCUCUCACAGCUGCCGACGGUAAAUACAGGUUGCGUUCCACUGAACGCUUGGCAGGGAGUAGAAGCUGGAGGGGUGUCCUGGAGCGCUCACAGGUCGGGGGGGACGCAGCUGCGGGGCCAGACACGCGAUCGCAGGGAACAGGCAGGGGAGCAGGUGCCCGACUGCGGGAGGGGCGGGGCUGCAGGAGAGGAGGGGCGGGGCUGCAGGAGGAGCAGAGCCGCUGGAGGGGAGGGGCCGGGCUGCCGGGAGGGGAAGGGCGGGGCUGCAGGAGGGGAGAGGCAGGGCUGCCGGGAGCGGAGGGGCGGGGCUGCAGGAGGGGAGGGGCGGGGUUGCCGGGAGGGGAGGGCCGGGGCUGCAGGAGGGGAGGGGCGGGGUUGCCGGGAGGGGAGGGGCGGGGCUGCAGGAGGGGAGGGGCCGGGCUGCCGGGAGGGGAGGGGCGGGGCUGCAGGAGGGGAGGGGCCGGGCUGCCGGGAGGGGAGGGGCGGGGCUGCAGGAGGAGCAGAGCAGCAGGAGGGGAGGGGCGGGGUUGCCGGGAGGGGAGGAGCCGGGCUGCGGGGAGGAGCCGGGCUGCGGGCGGGGCGGAGGAGGAAGCGGCGGUCUCAGAGCAGCGGCGGGCGAGGGCGGAGCUGGAGGGCCGGGGAGGCCAGAGGAGCCCUCCGGGGGCCUGCAGCGACAGCCGCGGGGUGGGGGGAGCCGCCCCGGGGCCCCUCCCGGCCCUGCGCUCUGACCCUGGCCUUGGCCCAUUCUGCCCUGCUCAGGUUAAGGCCCACGGAACCAGCUGGGUCCUACCGGGGCGCGGCCUGGCCUCUGGUGCCCUCCUGGGUGCCCCGCGGCUCCGGUCCCACCAGCCUUCCAGCGUGAAGCCAGGAGGGGGUGGCGGGUCGCCCCAGCCCCUCAGGCCUACCACGCCAGAGCCUCGGAGGCUCCCGCCCUGA
rnacentral:lncRNA from 1 species